GGGAAUGUGGCUCAGUAGUAGAGUGCUUGCCUACCAUGCAUGAAGCCCUGGGUUCGAUUCCUUAGUAUCCCA
rfam:Dipodomys ordii contig_65607, whole genome shotgun sequence.